rnacentral:lncRNA from 1 species
AUAACACCAAAAAGUGGUUUUUGGUGCUAAAAUAAUAUCACAUCUUCAAUGGUUGGUGCUAUAUCUUGUGUCAAAUUCAUAUAUGUGCAUUCAUGUACUUGAAUAGGUUGAGAUAUAAAUCCAUUUUUUAUUCAUUUCCCUUCAUUUUUCUACUUUUUGAUGAGGUGGCAAUUAUAGCUAUUGCUAUAGUUUGUGCUAAAUAUAGCACCAACUAUAGCAAUAUGCUAUUUUAGCACCAAGUUUAGCACACCAUUGGAGUUGAAAUUUUUUGAUUUUGAGCUAUAAUAUAAAUAUAGCACAAGAUAUAGCUCACCAUU